rnacentral:rRNA from 1 species
GUUAGGAAUAUUCGUCAAUGGGGGAAACCCUGAACGAGCAAUGCCGCGUGAGUGAUGACGGUCCUUUGGAUUGUAAAACUCUGUUGUUAGGGAAGAAAUGAUUGUAUAGGAAAUGAUACAAUUUUGACGGUACCUUUCAAGAAAGCUCCGGCUAACUACGUGCCAGCAGCCGCGGUAAUACGUAGGGAGCGAGCGUUAUCCGGAUUUAUUGGGUGUAAAGCGUGUGUAGGCGGUUUUAUAAGUCUAGGGUCUAAGCCCGGAGCUCAACUCCGGUUCGCCUUGGAAACUGUAAGACUUGAGUUUGGUAGAGGUAAAUGGAAUUUCUAGUGUAGCGGUGAAAUGCGUAGAUAUUAGAAGGAACACCAGUGGCGAAGGCGAUUUACUGGGCCAACACUGACGCUGAGACACGAAAGCGUGGGUAGCAAAUAGGAUUAGAAACCCUAGUAGUCC